CAGAGAGGGCUCUGCUGGGCUUUCCUCCUUCCUCAAGCAAUGAUGCCACUUGCAGCCUUCUGUUCCUCAGACAAGGAAAGUUUCGUGAGAGCUGCCCAGAAGCUGCCUUCCUCACAGUGGCCCUCCGAAAUCUGGCAAAAACUCACAUGACAAGACAAAAGAGAAGCUUUCCAAACCCAGAACACGGCUCAAUCCAUCAAUGUCCCCUCCAUGACGGGUCAUAUGAAAAAUUAUCAUUUGUAAGGAGCUGUGAGCAGGAAAAGCCCAAGGAAACCUGCUCUUCUGCACUGACGUGUCCUCAAGACUUGGUGCAGAGAGGCGGAAGGAGUCUGAGCUGGUGUGAGGAGGUGAGAUGCCACAGAGCAAGCAACUGACCUGACUGUGGAUCUGGAGGAAGGGCAGAGUGAGUGGGAUCCUCUCAGACUGGCCGGGUUACCCACAGGAUCCCGGCAUUAUGCUACCAGGACAAGAACGCAUCUUAGGAUGGAGGCUCCUCAACAAUGAAGAGCUUCUUGGCUCUCUGUGAUAUUCCACAAAGUUUUUGGAUGGGAGAGUAAGACCUUCUGAUACAUCCUUGACCACAGCAUGAUCCAGAGUGCUAACUCUCAAACUACAGCCAGGCCGGGACUUCCCAAGCAGUGCUAUUCCACUUGUCCAAACAAGAAGGUGUCCUGGUAGUUGACAGGGGAGACUUGGUGCUGCUAUACCUUCCAGCGAGAUCUUGGAAGCAGAUGAACGGCACAAAGCACCCUCUGCAAGCAAGGAGGUUUGAAUAGUCAUUCUCCAUGUCUAAUUUCAAGAUACAUCCUUAUUGCUGAAGAUGCCACACAUUGAGACACAGGACUUGAAGGAAUUGAACUGGAUAUGACCAGGUAGCCUCCCCCCGAGGAAUAGCUCUCAUAGUAUCAGAAGAAACAGCAGCUAAACGUCCUACUGAGCUGCAACACCUACAAACAACAACAAUGACCAGCCCAGCAAGACAGCGGCACUGUUCCCUGGGCAGAAGUGAGCAGCUGUCUCGUCAGACUUAAUGCCAGAAGAGAGAUCAUGGACGGUGUGAUAAACCUAGCCAGCUUUCUGUGGUGAGCGAGGUCAUGUAUCCAUGAGGAGAGCCUAUGGCUGUCAUUUUUCAGAUACACCUAAUAUGAUUCCUAAGUGCACUCUAUGUAUGCAUCCAUACAGCCCUCACCAACGAACAUCCUUCCUGAAGUAGAUGGAGACCAACAGGCUCACCUGCAGAAGCACAGCUAGCCAUGUGGUGAGGCCCAGCAGAUGCAUUUCAACACAAGGCUCAGGAAGAGGGUCAGAAAGAUAAAAAAACAGAGAAAUCUUAACAAUAUGGCCGCCCAAAGACCUGCACCAUGACAACACUAAUUGAUAUGCCCACGCCGAAGGGGAAAUUUCACAGGGUCCCAUCCCUGGAGGAAGAGCUACAGGAAAUCAAUGACUGCUUAAAAGGAGAGAAUUCAUCUUCCCCCAAGACAUAAGUCCCCUAGUUGGGGGCAAGGCUGUAAGCAAUAUAAAACCAAAUAAAAACAUUGUAUCUAUUUA